rnacentral:rRNA from 1 species
CAGUCGCCGCGGGAAGACAGAGGAUGCAAGCGUUAUCCGGAAUGAUUGGGCGUAAAGCGUCUGUAGAUGGCUUUUCAAGUCCGCCGUCAAAUCCCAGGGCUCAACCCUGGACAGGCGGUGGAAACUACCAAGCUGGAAUACGGUAGGGGCAGAGGGAAUUUCCGGCGGAGCGGUGAAAUGCGUUGAGAUCGGAAAGAACACCAACGGCGAAAGCACUCUGCUGGGCCGACACUGACACUGAGAGACGAAAGCUAGGGGAGCAAAUGGGAUUAGAUACCCCAGUAGUCCCUGUCUCUUAUAC